ACAUUAUUAUUCACUUUUUUUCUUCUUUUUUUUUUCGUCAUCAAUUCAAUAUUAACUUUAAAAUAUAUUUAGACCACAUUGAUGUAAAUACUCAAUCUUAUUUCCCUCAACCACUUUGAACAUCUCUUUUCUCUUUCUCUAUUCAUCUCUUUGUUUUCCAAAUUCUUUUUUCCUCUUUGUUUCUUUAUUAUUUAUUUUCUUUUAUUUUAUGACUCACUCUUUCUAUCAUA
rnacentral:lncRNA from 1 species